GCCGGCAUAGCUCAGUUGGUAGAGCAACUGAUUUGUAAUCAGUAGGUCGGGAGUUCGACUCUCUCUGCCGGCACCA
rnacentral:tRNA from 1 species